UGCGUAGGCGGGGCAAUAAGUCAGUAGUGAAAUCCUGCAGCUUAACUGUAGAACUGCUAUUGAUACUGUUGUCCUUGAGUAUAGUUGAAGUGGGCGGAAUAUGUAAUGUAGCGGUGAAAUGCAUAGAUAUUACAUAGAACACCAAUUGCGAAGGCAGCUCACUAAGCUAUCACUGACGCUGAGGCACGAAAGCGUGGGGAGCGAACAGGAUUAGAUACCCUGGUAGUCC
rnacentral:rRNA from 1 species